UCUUUCUUUUCACUUCUACUAGAUGGUGUUUGGUUGUAUAUGUAUUUUGUCUAAAAUGAUUUUACCGGUGUUUGAUACCACAUUAAAUUCUUUUCGGUCGUGUUUAUUAUGGCUCGGACCCGGACUACAAAAUGAUGCUUUUGCACAUGGAGAUGAAACUGAAGGGUUUUACAGGUUAUGAGGAACACUUUCUCCCCCGACAUUCCCCCACAGGCGCCCAUAUGAAGAUGAAGUUGCCUAAAGAGUUGUAUGUUCUCAGCUCUUCCAUUGGGUAGCUGCUUAAGGAUGGGAGAUCACUGCCUGGAAUGAUAUGGGGACUACUUGAUACAUCAGGAAAUGACUGCAUCACGGAGAGAAACCUCCAUCGCAGUGGCCCAGAGUCUGAAUCUCAAAAUGGCUUUCUAUGCUUGGGAAGAUGUUAAAUAUUGUAAUCCUCUAAAUGCAAUGUCUGUGCAUAGAGGCUGGUUACAUUUGUUGGAGGGCUGGAUAAACUGGUUGGUGGGGAUGGGAUUUGUCAUUUUGUCUAAAUAAAAAUCCUUUAACUUUU